UCAAACUCCAAGAUUGCAUCUUUGCUGACUGGGGAAUUUCUAUUUAGAGGAUUGACACAAAAUGGCCAAAAAGUUAUAUUACCUGCAAAAUCUUUAUUAAAAACUAGAGGUGGAGAUAUUACUACCUAACAAAACCUUAUAAGCAAGAGCGGAGCUAGGAGGACACAAGGGAGGUUCAUGCAAACUGCCUUAGAUGUGAAAACUCAGACUCCACCACUACGCACAGACAACUUAAACAGUUUCACUUACAUAUUAGGAGACCAAACAAGUGUUCUGUCUCCUGGUAUUUGUGCAAACCAAAUUGCCAA